rnacentral:rRNA from 1 species
GCUUGUCUCAAAGAUUAAGCCAUGCAUGUCUAAGUAUAAGCCUUUAUAUGGUGAGACUGCGAAUGGCUCAUUAAAUCAGAAACUGUUUAUUAGAUUGAAACCAAUGCGGGGUAACCCGGUGUUUGGUGAUUCAUAAUAACUUUCGGAUCGCAUUUGCGAUGCAUCAUUCAAGUUUCUGCCCUAUCAGCUUUGGAUGGUAGGGUAUUGGCCUACCAUGGCAUUAACGGGUAACGGAGGAUUUGGGUUCGAUUCCGGAGAGGGAGCCUGAGAAAUGGCUACCACAUCCAAGGAAGGCAGCAGG